rnacentral:rRNA from 1 species
ACAAAUUUUUUUUUAUGACUUUAAAAAUUAUAAGGUGGAAUUAGAAUUUUUUGUGAAUUUUUGUUUGUAAUUUUAAAUUUUGAUUGAACGAACUAGAAUAGAACCUAGUUAGACAAAUAUUAAAAGAGCAGAAGUAAAGUUGUAUUUAAACUGAAAGGAUAUUGGCAGGUGGUCUAAAUUAUCUUUGGAGGCUGAGUAGUAAUUGAGAACCCUCAUUAGCUACUUUAUCUAUUUUCGCAUGUAUGAUCGUUUAUUUAAAUCUUAAAGGUAGUAAUUAAAGAUGUGUUUUCUAUAAAAACAGAUAAAUACCUGGUAUAUGAUUAAAGUAAGAUUUGGCCUACAUUAUUUUAUGAUGUGGAUAAUAUUUUUGGCGG